rnacentral:rRNA from 1 species
AUGUCAGUUUUUAAACUACCCAAAAAUAUUUGCAAGGCAAUUACAGAUGAGAUUGCAGGUUUUUGGUGGGGUGAUAGUGAGGAAAAGAAGAGGAAGCAUUGGUUUGCAUGGUGGAAGUUAUGCAUCCCCAAGAUUAAAGGUGGAUUGAGGUUUAGGGACCUACACAGUUUUAAUCUUGCUUUAUUAGCAAAACAGUGUUGGCGCUUACUCCAGAAUCCCGAAUCUUUGUGUGCACGAGUUCUAAGUGCAAAGUACUACCCUGAUGGAAAUAUACUCAUGGCAGGACCUAAGAAGGGUUCUUCCUUCACUUGGCAAAGUAUUGUAGCGGGUAUACAAACGUUUAAGAGAGGAUGCAUUUGGUGUGUGGGUACCAGUUCAUAG